rnacentral:rRNA from 1 species
GCCGGCAGCCAUAUCACCCUGGAGCCAAAGACCGGUUGCCCACUGAAGCUAAGCAGGGCUGAGCCUGGUCAGUACCUGGAUGGGAGACCUCCUGGGAAAACUAGGUUGCUGCUGGAA